CCUACGGGAGGCAGCAGUAGGGAAUUUUGCGCAAUGGGCGAAACCCUGACGCAGCAACGCCGCGUGGUCGAGACGCGUUUUGGGGUGGUAAGAUCCGUCAGUUGGGACGAAUCUUGACGGUAUCUACCGAGUAAGCACCGGCUAACUCCGUGCCAGCAGCCGCGGUAAUACGGGGGGUGCAAGCGUUAUCCGGAAUCAUUGGGCGUAAAGAGUGCGUAGGCGGGAUGUCAAGUCUGAUGUUAAAGGCAGAGGCUCAACUUUUGUACGGCACUGGAGACUGUCGAGCUAGAGUGCGGUAGAGGUAAGGGGAAUUCCUGGUGUAGCGGUGAAAUGCUUAGAUAUCAGGAGGAAUA
rnacentral:rRNA from 1 species